UACAGAGGGUGCGAGCGUUAAUCGGAAUUACUGGGCGUAAAGCGCACGUAGGUGGCGACGUAAGUCGGGUGUGAAAGCCCCGGGCUCAACCUGGGAAUUGCAUUCGAGACUGCAUUGCUGGAGUACGGAAGAGGAAGGCGGAAUUCCCGGUGUAGCGGUGAAAUGCGUAGAGAUGUGGAGGAACACCGAUGGCGAAGGCAGCCCCCUGGACCUGUACUGACGCUCAUGCACGAAAGCGUGGGGAGCAAACAGG
rnacentral:rRNA from 1 species